GGCGGCGCCCCCGGAACGGCAGAGGUCAGGGUCUGCAGGGCGCCCGGGAAGAGGAGAGCCCUGGAGGCUGCAGAGGGAGGCUCCCCGGAACCCCAGCAUCCCGUUUUCAUGAAACCUCCUGCCCACUAAAAUAGUUGUCCGCCCUCCCUGCCUCGAGCUGGGUAGAAGCCACGCUCGGGCGCACGCCCCACCUGUGCAGGGGCGGCCCCAGCGCUUCACCUGAACGGCCUUGCAUGUCACCCUGUGGCUCUCAAGGGACCUGUGACUGAGAUGAAACUGAGACACUCUGCUUUCUCUCUUCUGAUUUACAUCUGGCCUCGCCAUGCCUCAGCCUAGGCAAUAUAUUUACAACGCAGGGGAACGGCCGGCCACUCCCUGUGGACUUGGAGAAUCAGAUACAGCAGACAGAGUCGGCAAGGAGAAGACCAGACUGGGCAUCUCGGGAGGACACCAGCCCAAGCCCAGUGUGGGCGGAGCACUGGCAACUAACAGUGGCCUGAACCUCGAUGUUCCUCAGGGUCCUGGAGAGGUUCUUCGAAGAUUACAAACUAGGAUCUGACCAUUCUACAUCCUCCCUAAUUUUAUGGACAAUGCAGGGAGCCAGGAUUCUCCACCUGCGCCUGUUUCCGGCGAGAGCAGCGGUCCGUGCCGCCUACGCACGCCAACCUUAAAGCACCGAUGGGGAGGAACUUGCCCCAGUGGCAGGAGGGUCCUGGUGGGGAUCUGAGAGGUCUACCGCUGCGGGACAGGCAGAAUAGCCGUGGGGCUGGAAUGGACAGCGAGGUGAGGGCGGGGCUAGGCCAGCUCCUCCCAGGCGGGCGUGCCCUGGCGAUGGCUUCGAAGGAGUCCAAGAAUUCCAACUUCCACCCUGGAUUCCGGCCAUUCUGAAGGUAUUUUUGUUAAGGUGGGAGGACAGAGCGUGUUUUAUGUAAGGUCUGUUUGCUUGACUGACAAGUUUGUCGUAUCUAGGCGCAUGCUUUGUGAGCCUUCACACAUGGCACGCUUGUUGCAGGGCCUGUGACCCCUCAGGCCCCACCGUGCCACCUCAGGGCACACAGCUCAGAGAGGGUCCGGCUGCGACCUCACGCAGCUCAGCCCCUCUUCUCUCCCACCCUGCCCGACCGUGGCUCCUGAGAGCAGUUGGAUCUUGCUGCCAGGAUAUUAAACAUAUACGAGGUGUUCGCCCGGCUUCCGGGGACCUUUAAGCUUCAUUGAAUCAAACUAUAGACCUAGGAGAUUUGUCUGAAGGAGCCGGGCUGGCCACCAGCUGGCCUCUCUUCUUACCAGAGGGGGAAGGGGGUAAUGUCAGCACAGGAGGCCCCAGGGGGUGACCUGGGGGAAAGGGAGAGGACCAGCAGAGUACGAGCAGGCAUUGUGAGAAACACAAGGAGAACACGAAUCUAACUGUCCCGAAGAAAAGGCAGCAGCAAACUCUACCUUGUUGAGGAUUCUGAGGGAGUCGAUUUAUUUGUUUUGGAGGAGGGAGGGAUGGGACGAAGUGCUGAAUCCAGCCUAAGAUGAUCUUGGAGGGGUAGUGGGAGCCAUGGAAGGUGCAGGAGCACUCGGGGAAAGGGAUUAAAUGGCAGAGAGGACCCGUCUGUCUGCCUGUCUGUCCCCAGAGCUGAUGAGGUAAGGUUCCAAAGUGGAUGCCUGAUGUCCAGAAAUGAGCCCAGAGCAGCCAGGGAGGCUCAUACGGGUCUUCCCAGAGGGUGAGCUGAGAGAGACAAGGUCUGAACUUCGCCUUGACCCCAGUCUCGGCUUUUAGGUACGAGCAUUCGUUGUGGCUGGUUUUUGUUUUUUUUUUUUAAUGACAAAAGUAGUUUGUGUUCACUAAAUAAUACUUGGAAAAUACGGGAAAAGUUAAGAAAAGAAAAAUUCUCCAUGGUCUUAACCCAUCAAUGUAAAUAUCAUUUUUUUCAAGGUGCUUUGUUCUUUUUCUUUUUUUUCUUGGUACUGGGGAUCGAACUCUGGACCUUGUGCUUGUGAGGCAGGCACGAUGCCACUGAGCUAAAUCCCCUUCCUAUAGGUGUUUUGUUCUUUACAUAGAUGGGGUGUGUGUGUGUGUGUGAGAGAGAGAGACAGACAGACAAGAGACAGAGUCAGAGAGAGGGGAUUUUAACAUAAUUGGACCUACUUCCCUGAAACAUUGUUUUUAAGGGAGAACGGGUACUGUGAUUAUAAAGUACUAAGAUGAGUCAUCUCAGCAUUAUUGAGCAAUUUCAUGAGUUUUGGUAAAAACAAAGCUGACUUUCCUUUAUCCUGUCGUUAGGAAUCACCUACUCUAACAUUCUGUAACACUGUAUUUCCUCAUGGUCCUCAGGGAGGAAAAUAACAAGAUACAAAUCAGGAGAUACAGAGAUACAAAGUAUAACUAAGCCACAUGCUACAGUGGCCUUCCUCUACUUAAAGCAUUGAGCAGUGUCUUAGUCAUGAUAGACCCACUUCUGACUAAGGUCAAAGAGGUCAAGAAAUGGGCUGAAUCCUUUUACUUUUCUGAUGGAUCCUGUCCAAAAAUAGGGCCGGGG
rnacentral:lncRNA from 1 species